GAUUGCAUGGACUUAACAAGAGGACCAAGUGGUGUAUACAGGAUAAAUCCAGAGGGAGGGACAGGAUACAAUGUAUACUGUAACAUGGAAAUGGACGGUGGAGGAUGGCUGGUUGUUCAAAGACGCUUUAACGGAGACGUCAAUUUUGGAGAUAAACUUUGGGACGAUUACAAAAAUGGAUUUGGAGAUGUUGCACAAGAGCAUUGGCUAGGUAACGAACGUUUACAUCAAUUGACCUCCAAUGAUCAAUAUGAACUGCGGGUCGAUUUACUUCAUGAUGAAUUAAAGAAAUUUACAGUUUUUGCGUAAUAUAAACAGUUUUCAAUUGGAAAUGAAGAUUCAAAGUAUAUUUUAACUAUUGGUAACUUCAGUGGAAAUCAAGCACCGUCAAUGAUUACAGAAAAUGGUCUACAAGAUUUUUUUUGGAAAACAGACAAAGUUUACCACUCCAGACAUGAACAACAUUGAUGGCAAUUCUGAAAAUUGUGCUAAUGGCGAACCAAAACUAGAGGGAUGGUGGUUUCUUCCCAAAUGUGAGACUUCAUAUUUGAAUGGUCAAUACCGUAACGGUAUGCGAUGGUCCUACAUUCCGUUUUUCCAAAGACAUGCGUUUUUAAUGAAAGAAAGCCGUAUGAUGAUUCGUCGCUUGUGAUCAGCAAAUGAUAAUUUGUUGAUAGUGGUUACUAAUUAUUAACAUCCUAAUUUAGUUGAAUACAUUACUAAAAGCAUGUUCAAC